UCAUAUUUAAAAAAAUUUCUAUCUGCGUCAUCUUCCACUGUCUCUCUUAAGGUUGCAGAGAGAGAAAAGAGAGAAGACAGAGAGAGAGAGAGAGAGAGAAAGAGACUUACCUCGACGACUUCGAAUCCCUGAAAAUAAAACUUCUUAGGGUUCCUGUCUGCUAUUUCGCUCACCACUGAGAAAGUGGUGAAUGAUGCCGGCUAAAUCUAAAGAUGAAGAUCCACAUAUAGAACACGGUGCCCAGACUGUGCUGGAAUCAGCUAUCUAUGCCCAACCUUGGUGGCGUGGAGUGGGGAACAAUUCAUCGUCAGGUGAAAGUGCUCCAGCAUCAUCUUUGGUGGAUCAUCGUGAUAGUAUGGUCAUGAAUGGAGCUAUGCAGUCACAAGCUAAUGCUAGGCUGGAUGGUGGGGCCAACUUCAACAAAGAAUUGCGGACUACAGUAGGAUCAGAGUCUGACCAGAAAAAUGGAUGCAAAAACCAGCAAAUCAAAAGCAUUUCUUCCUCGGUGGUUCCUACAAUGGGUGAACACCACGAUCCAAAUUCACAAAUGGAACUUGUUUACAAGUCUCAUUAAAUUUUGCAGGUUUUGACAUCAUAUCCCUAUUCGGAUCCACAAUAUGGCGGGAUGUUGACUCCUUAUGGGGCACAAGCUAUGCUGCCUCCCCACUUCUAUGGCAUUCAUCAUGGUAGAAUGCCUUUGCCCCUUGAAAUGGAAGAGGAGCCUGUUUAUGUAAAUGCCAAGCAGUACCAUGGCAUUUUGAGACGAAGACAGUCACGUGCUAAAACUGAGCUUGAAAAGAAACUUAUAAAAGCUCGAAAGCCAUAUCUUCACGAGUCUCGGCACCUACAUGCAUUGAGGAGGGCAAGGGGUUGUGGAGGUCGUUUCCUUAAUACAAAGAAACAAGAUGAUAAUGACGAAAAUUCCUCACUUGAAAAAGGCAUGAAUUUGGAUGCAAAUGAUUCAGCCCAAUCUGCCAAAUCUAGUUUUGAGUGCUUUCCCAAUACCAGCAAUGGGACUUUUGAUUCCUCAAAUGUCCAGCAAGAAGGAUCAGAUCCAUGGUUCAGGGCACACAAGAACCACACCCUCUCUAGUGAUAAUGGCAAUGGCCAUGGCCCAUCAUCAGCAUACCCUUCCACGUUUGGUGACAGCAAGGAAAGUGUUUUCCUGGGUCAGCAGAGGGAAAACAUGCAGUUGAAUGGGUCGUCUCGUGGGGCCAUCCCCAGUAAAUGACAUUCCUCUAUGAGGUGAAGCUGAAGGCGUGCACAGUCUCUCUUGGGGUGAAACCCUGCUGUGCAAUGUCUAUAUCAGGCAAAUCAUUCUUGGCUUUGGUUACUUUUGUAAUUAUUGGGGUGUUGUGGAAGGAGAUAGGUGUGAAGUCCAUGUUGUCUUCAGUCAGCCAUCACUUGCACUCACUUGUGUUGUAGAAACAGUUAAGAAAGCAUCAGUUGGAAACUCAUGUAGAAAUUAGAUGUGAAUGUGUAGAUUUUAAACACUGCAGUUCUGUUUGAAAAGUGUGUUGUGACUUUCGUGUGAGACGAGAAUUUCCUUCUCUUGUUUAUUGCAUCCAAUGUAGUGGUUGUGGUGACUUUGCAAAGGCUACUUCAUCCAUCGUGGAAGGGUAUUUUGACCUAUAUUUCUUCAGCUUUUUUGAGAAGAAACUGUAUGAUCUAGAUUUCUAUAUCCAUUUUAUAUUUUGAUUACUC